rnacentral:rRNA from 1 species
GUGGGGAAUAUUGCACAAUGGGCGCAAGCCUGAUGCAGCGACGCCGCGUGGGGGAUGAAGGCCUUCGGGUUGUAAACUCCUUUCGCUAGGGACGAAGCUUUUUGUGACGGUACCUAGAUAAGAAGCACCGGCUAACUACGUGCCAGCAGCCGCGGUAAUACGUAGGGUGCGAGCGUUGUCCGGAAUUACUGGGCGUAAAGGGCUCGUAGGUGGUUUGUCGCGUCGUCUGUGAAAUUCUGGGGCUUAACUCCGGGCGUGCAGGCGAUACGGGCAUAACUUGAGUGCUGUAGGGGUAACUGGAAUUCCUGGUGUAGCGGUGAAAUGCGCAGAUAUCAGGAGGAACACCGAUGGCGAAGGCAGGUUACUGGGCAGUUACUGACGCUGAGGAGCGAAAGCAUGGGUAGCGAACAGGAUUAGAAACCCUAGUAGUCC